GAUCACAUAUCCCAUAACCAUCCUCCCUAUCUUUAAAAACCGUUCCCUGCAAGCCUGCAGGGAGUUUGGGUCUUUUAAGCACUAGUUACCAUGGGACGCCUUGCUUGGCCCUGUGAAAUAAAUGCUGCACUUUCCUUCACCCCAACCCAGUGUAAGUAGAUUGGCUUUACUGUGCGGGAAAGUGGACCCACAUGGUUUGGUAACAUUAUUACCAGCUUACAUAGCAAGUCUCAAGUCUGAUUCAAGUCUGAUUCAAGUUGGCAAACGCCACGGCCCUAGCUCUGCAGUUUCUUCCAGUCAUCUCUCUCUAUUGAGAUUUUGGUGGGUAUUUCCUGUUGUCUUGCUGGCAGCCUGUACUCUGGAGAGUGCCAUACUUUGUAAUGCUGACGAGUUGCAAAAGUUUGCCAAAGAAAAAUGCAGUUGACCAAAAUGGAAUAUCUUUGCACAAGGAUUUUCUGGCAUUUUCAUCGGCUCUAUAUUGAAAAGACAGAUGCCAUUAGGAACCUUUGUGAUUCACCGAAAGAGGUCAGAAUAUCAACAUUGACAAUGGUUUGGAAGAAGUUGACCCGAAUCCUCAUAGAUAUGACUUCGAGGGAGUUAAGAUGUGAGUGCUAAAACACAUGCAUUAACCAAGCAGGAUUCAAUUCAUGACACCAAACUAACACCGUUUUUACUUCCAGAAAUUUAUUCAUGGAUCUUGCAUAAGAGGCACUUAUUACGUAUAGUACUGCUCUUAAACUAUUUCUGCACCAUUGGUUCUUAAACUUUUACGUACAUCACAAUGAUCUGGGGAGAUAUCGAGGUAUACAAAAAGCAGAUUUCCAUGCCUAGAUAUAAUAACUUGAGUGGUUUGGUUUGGGGCCCUGAUCAUUUAUUAUUAAUUAGUUGUUUUCUAGUAAUAACCUCAGAUAAGUUUAAUGUAUAGCCUGGAUUGAUAAUCAUAGUUAUGGGAUAUAUUAAUAAGAGUGAAAUUGCUAAAUUGUAAAUCAUGUAUAUCUUUAAUUUUGUAACUUGUCCCCCAAAAUGGUUGUAAAAAUUUAUACUUUCACAAGGAAAAUAUUAGAUGUGUUUCUGUUAUCCUGAAGAAAUUUUGAGUUUUCUAACUAUAUAGUUACAUAUUUUGUUACUGCCUGGUUUUGAGCACAUAUUCAUAAAUUUCAUCUUCUAAGCUCAUGUAUUUUAUCAGUUUUAUAAUGGCACUGUUUAUGUUUUUCAUAUUGAUUUGUAAUUUGAAAAAAUAUAGUCUGCAGAGUUCCUGUUGUAGUGCCAUGGGAUUGGGAGCGUCUUGGGAGAAGUGGGAUGCAGGUUCAAUCCCCAAAUUUGAUCCCUGGCCUGGGAACUCCAUAUGUCAUGGGGUAGCCAAAAAAGAAAAUAAAAAUUUUAAAAUAUAGUGUGAUGCCUAAAACUUUAUUAUGUAUGAUAUACAAUUUUGUCUCUUUUCACUUCAUAUAUGGUGUCUUUAGACAA